AUUGAACGCUGGCGGCAUGCCUUACACAUGCAAGUCGAACGGUAACGCGGGGCAACCUGGCGACGAGUGGCGAACGGGUGAGUAAUGUAUCGGAACGUGCCCAGUUGUGGGGGAUAACUGCUCGAAAGAGCAGCUAAUACCGCAUACGACCUGAGGGUGAAAGCGGGGGAUCGCAAGACCUCGCGCAAUGGGAGCAGCCGAUAUCAGAUUAGGUAGUUGGUGGGGUAAAGGCGCACCAAGCCGACGAUCUGUAGCUGGUCUGUGAGGACGACCAGCCACACUGGGACUGAGACACGGCCCAGGCUCCUACGGGAGGCAGCAGUGGGGAAUUUUGGACAAUGGACGCAAGUCUGAUCCAGCCAUGCCGCGUGCGGGAAGAAGGCCUUCGGGUUGUAAACCGCUUUUGUCAGGGAAGAAAAGGCUCCUUCUAAUAUAGGGGGCUCAUGACGGUACCUGAAGAAUAAGCACCGGCUAACUACGUGCCAGCCGCCGCCGUAA
rnacentral:rRNA from 1 species